ACUAUUGAGGCAGGCCAGCGGCGGACGGGUGAGUAACGCGUGGGCAACCUGCCCUGUAGUCUGGGAUAACAGGUCGAAAGGCCUGCUAAUACCGGAUGAGCUUAGCAUCUCGCAUGGGGUGGUAAGGGAAGGGGGAACCCGCUACAGGAUGGGCCCGCGUCCCAUUAGCUAGUUGGAGAGGUAACGGCUCACCAAGGCGACGAUGGGUAGCCGGCCUGAGAGGGCGACCGGCCACACUGGAACUGAGACUCGGUCCAGACUCCUACGGGGGGCAGCAGUAGGGAAUAUUCGGCAAUGGGCGAAAGCCUGACCGAGCGACGCCGCGUGAGGGACGAAGGUCUUCGGAUUGUAAACCUCUGUCUAGGGGGACGAGGAAGGACGGUACCCCUGGAGGAAGCCCCGGCUAACUACGUGCCAGCAGCCGCGGUAAUACGUAGGGGGCGAGCGUUGUCCGGAAUUACUGGGCGUAAAGGGCGCGCAGGCGGCCGUGUAAGUCAGGUGUAAAAGGCCGAGGCUCAACUUCGGUUAGACGUCUGAUACUGCAUGGCUUGAGGGCAAGAGAGGGAAGCGGAAUUCCCGGUGUAGCGGUGAAAUGCGUAGAUAUCGGGAGGAACACCAGUGGCGAAGGCGGCUUCCUGGAUUGUACCUGACGCUCAUGCGCGAAAGCUGGGGGAGCGAACGGGAUUAGAUACCCCGGUAGUCCCAGCCGUAAACUAUGGAUGCUAGGUGUAGGAGGUAUCGACCCCUCCUGUGCCGCAGCUAACGCAUUAAGCAUCCCGCCUGGGGAGUACGGCCGCAAG
rnacentral:rRNA from 1 species